rnacentral:tRNA from 1 species
CAGGGUAUAGCUCAGUGGUAGAGUGUGUGCUUAAUGUACAUGAGGUCCUGAGUUCAAUCCCUAGUACCUUCA